GGAGGGGUAUCGAAGCCUGGUCAACCGAGAAGGACUCAAGAUCCUUUCUCUUAGGAGUUCGUGGGUUCGAAUCCCACCCCCUCCA
rnacentral:tRNA from 3 species